ensembl:lncRNA Novel trranscript, antisense to POMGNT2
GCAGGCACUGUCACUUUUCAUCACAGUCAUUUGAAACAAAGGAUUUUAUAGCUAAGCAGGAGAAGAUUCCUUCCAAAGAAGAUGGAGACAGACCAGACAGUGAACGCUGUCACUAUGUCAUUGGUGGCACCUUGGGCCUGGUCAGUCGCCAACCCUCUGCUUCUUGGGCGUCCAGGUCGAGUGUACUGACAGACGACAUAAUGGACACUGUUGCUUCCCCCAGCAGCCACUGCCCUCUUCCUUUUCCUAACAACAUCCCUAGUGUGCCCAGAAAGCCACCCUCCUGCUGACACCCACGAGGCUCAGAGAAGCUCAGACCUUGCACCUCAGGUGGACUGUCAGCAGAGCCUACUUCUUGGGCCAGUUACUGGCCCAGCCGUGGCAAAGUUACCUGAGUGGGACCAAUUCAGCUGAGGAAUGAGGUGUCGCAUGCCAUGUUCCUACCCACUGGACAGAAAAAGAAGGUGUUGUCCUAAGGCUGCUGGCUGCCAUCUGCUGACCAUGCGGAAACCAGCUUGAGGCAAAGACAGUGCCUAGGACGGCAUGGCCAAAGAGAUACAGACGACCCUGGUGACAUCUCCAAGCCCCAUCUCUGGACAUCCUGCUGUGAGAAAUGGCAUGCCCCCAACUGGACAUUCUCCAUACAACCCCACCAACUAAGAACUACUGUGCUGAACUACAUUAAAGUGCUGAUAUGACCA